AUGUAGCUUGGAAUGAACGUGAUGAUAAUAUCCACCUUAAAUCUAAUGCUUAACGAGGAAAAAGGCUGUUUUGUUGGAGCCGGGAAGUCAUGAAAGAAACUCAAGAAGAGAACUUGGAUAAUGAACAGAAGAUAAAAAGAAAACAAAAAGAAUGUGGCAUAUAAAGGGUAUAAUACCUGGAGGUAUUAGAUCUGACUCAUAUUUAUAAAAAUGAGACGAGCUUUCACAAAAUACAAGUUAUCUUAGUCAUCAAGCUUGGAACCAUGCUGUUGAACUAGAAAUUCUCCUUUUCCCCAUUCUCCUUUCUGACAGGUAACAAAGGAUUGGUGAAUUAUGAUUUUCCCAAGUUGGAAGCACUAAUUUUUAUCUAUAUAGUUCGUCCUUAUGAAUAUAUAAGGAGUUAAACAUUGCAUAUUUAAUGUGGAUUAUAAUGGGAAACUGACUCAUUAACAAAAAUGGCCACUUUUAAGGACUUGGUUUCAAACUGAGCUGGAGCCUCCCAUUGCACUUUGUACAAUUUGGGGAAAGAUGUACUGAAUGGCCUUCUUUGGGAGGCCAUGAUGACAUGUAGUAAAAGGAUAUCAUCUUACUGUUGAUAUCUUUGAAGAC
rnacentral:lncRNA from 1 species